rnacentral:rRNA from 1 species
GACGAACGCUGGCGGCGUGCUUAACACAUGCAAGUCGAACGGAAAGGCCCUGCUUGCAGGGUACUCGAGUGUCGAACGGGUGAGUAACACGUGGGUGAUCUGCCCUGCACUUCGUGAUAAGCCUGGGAAACUGGGUCUAAUACCGGAUAGGAGCCAUUUUUAGUGUGAUGGUUGGAAAGUUUUUUCGGUGUAGGAUGAGCUCGCGGCCUAUCAGCUUGUUGGUGGGGUAAUGGCCUACCAAGGCGGCGACGGGUAGCCGGCCUGAGAGGGUGGACGGCAACACUGGGACUGAGAUAAGGCCCAGACUCCUACGGGAGGCAGAAGGGGGGAAGAUUGAACAAUGGGCGCAAGCCGGAUGCAGCGACGCCGCGUGGGGGAUGACGGCCUUCGGGUUGUAAACUCCUUUCGCUAGGGACGAAGCUUUUUGUGACGGUACCUAGAUAAGAAGCACCGGCUAACUACGUG